CAGUCGCCGCGGGAAUACGUAGGUGGCAAGCGUUGUCCGGAAUUAUUGGGCGUAAAGGGCUCGCAGGCGGUUUCUUAAGUCUGAUGUGAAAGCCCCCGGCUCAACCGGGGAGGGUCAUUGGAAACUGGGAAACUUGAGUGCAGAAGAGGAGAGUGGAAUUCCACGUGUAGCGGUGAAAUGCGUAGAGAUGUGGAGGAACACCAGUGGCGAAGGCGACUCUCUGGUCUGUAACAGACGCUGAGGAGCGAAAGCGUGGGGAGCGAACAGGAUUAGAUACCCCAGUAGUCCCUGUCUCUUAUAC
rnacentral:rRNA from 1 species